rnacentral:lncRNA from 1 species
GAAAAGUAAUAAGCUAGCUAGACUUGACAGGUGCAGGAUGUUAAGCACGAAGAUUAAGCAGGUUGCAGGUGCUGAGUUUCUUGGAAUCCUCUCUCUGAUGGAUGAGCAAUCAAGUACUAGUAUUGUAAUGGGUCAGGUCAUUACAAUACUACUUACAAAAAAAUCCUAUCCUGAAUCAAUCAAUGAAUCCAAAAUGUUAAUGUUGUUCAGCGCCAACGUGCACACUCACAACGAUGCAUCAUCCAUUCCUGGGUGCACAAUUGCUAGUGAUGCACCAUCUUCUUCUCCAUCCAUCCAUCCAUCUUCUUGUGCAUCACAUCUUAACCUGGUCAUCACAAUCCCUAGAUAGCUCGCUCGCUAGGGAAAACAAACCAACAAAAUACUAUCAUCAUCAUCAUUUCCAGACACCAUCCAUCCAUUUAAACAUACUAUAACACAUUAUGUAUGUCUAUAUAGGAGGAUCGCUAGGGUUCCCUUUCUUCUUUCUUUCUUUCUUCCCAUCCCACAAGAGAGAAAGGAAGAUCGAUCAACGACACAGACACACAAUUCUACUAAUAACACAGACAAGGAAGUUAGGAAGGAGGGAGCUUCUUCCUUCCCACAAGAAGGUAUAUUCAGUCAAGUCAACCCACCAACCAGACCAGACCAGACCAGGCAACCAAAGAAUAUCAUCUCUACUUUCUUUUUCUCUCUUCUCUUUCUACAACCAUGACAGGCAAAGAGGGGAGGGGAGGGGAGGGGAGACGAGGCAACGGAGAUCAAUAGACGGACGGCGCCACUCUUCAUCACCAAAAAAGCUUCCAAUUCAAUUCAGAUCAACAACAACAACAUAAGUCUUCCUUCUUCUUCUUCUUGUCUUCUCUUCCUUGCAUUCAGAUUCUCUUUCCCGCCAGUCCGUUGCCCCUGAUGCACACCAGACCAAACCAUUCGUCAGAUGAUUCACUUCAGCUACCAAAUACUAGUGCUUGGGAUGCAACGCG